CCUACGGGAGGCAGCAGUGGGGAAUAUUGGGCAAUGGGCGCAAGCCUGACCCAGCAACGCCGCGUGAAGGAAGAAGGCUUUCGGGUUGUAAACUUCUUUUAAGGGGGAAGAGCAGAAGACGGUACCCCAUGAAUAAGCUACGGCUAACUACGUGCCAGCAGCCGCGGUAAUACGUAGGGGGCAAGCGUUGUCCGGAUUUACUGGGUGUAAAGGGCGUGCAGCCGGAGGGACAAGUCAGAUGUGAAAUCCACGGGCUCAACCCGGGAACUGCAUUUGAAACUGUUUCCCUUGAGUGUCGGAGAGGUAAGCGGAAUUCCUUGUGUAGCGGUGAAAUGCGUAGAUAUAAGGAAGAACACCAGUGGCGAAGGCGGAUUACUGGACGAUAACUGACGGUGAGGCGCGAAAGCGUGGGGAGCAAACAGGAUUAGAUACCCCAGUAGUC
rnacentral:rRNA from 1 species